rnacentral:rRNA from 1 species
AUUUGUCUGGUUAAUUCCGAUAACGAACGAGACCUUAACCUGCUAACUAGAUUUUAUCAUCUUAUGAUUGAUAUCUUCUUAGAGGGACUAUGUAAAACAAAUACAUGGAAGUUUGAGGCAAUAACAGGUCAGUGAUGCCCUUAUAUGUCCUGGGCUGCACGCGUGCUACACUGAUGUAUACAACAAGUGCCUAACCAGACAUGGUAUGGCAAUCUCGAAUAUGCAUCGUGAUAGGGAUAGAUCUUUGCAAUUAUAGAUCUUGAACGAGGAAUUCCUAGUAAGUGCAAGUCAUCAUCUUGCAUUGACUAUGUCCCUGCCCUUUGUACACACCGCCCGUCGCUCCUACCGAUACCGGGUGAUCCGGUGAACCUUUUGGACCUGUAAGGGGAAGAUAAGUAAACCAUAUCACCUAGAGGAAGGAGAAGUCGUAACAAGGUUUCCGUAGGUGAACCUGCRGAAGGAUCA